rnacentral:rRNA from 1 species
UACGAAGGGGGCUAGCGUUGUUCGGAAUUACUGGGCGUAAAGCGCACGUAGGCGGACUAUUAAGUCAGGGGUGAAAUCCCGGGGCUCAACCCCGGAACUGCCUUUGAUACUGGUAGUCUCGAGUCCGGAAGAGGUGAGUGGAAUUCCGAGUGUAGAGGUGAAAUGCGCAGAUAUCAGGAGGAACACCCGUGGCUAAGGCGGCUCUCUAGUACGGUACUGACGCUGAGACGCGAAAGCGUGGGGAGCGAACAGG